rnacentral:rRNA from 1 species
GAUGAACGCUGGCGGCGUGCCUAAUACAUGCAAGUCGAGCGAACGGACGAGGAGCUUGCUUUUCUGAUGUUAGCGGCGGACGGGUGAGUAACACGUGGAUAACCUACCUAUAAGACUGGGAUAACUUCGGGAAACCGGAGCUAAUACCGGAUAAUAUUUUGAACCGCAUGGUUCAAAAGUGAAAGACGGUCUUGCUGUCACUUAUAGAUGGAUCCGCGCUGCAUUAGCUAGUUGGUAAGGUAACGGCUUACCAAGGCAACGAUGCAUAGCCGACCUGAGAGGGUGAUCGGCCACACUGGAACUGAGACACGGUCCAGACUCCUACGGGAGGCAGCAGUAGGGAAUCUUCCGCAAUGGGCGAAAGCCUGACGGAGCAACGCCGCGUGAGUGAUGAAGGUCUUCGGAUCGUAAAACUCUGUUAUUAGGGAAGAACAUAUGUGUAAGUAACUGUGCACGUCUUGACGGUACCUAAUCAGAAAGCCACGGCUAACUACGUG